rnacentral:misc_RNA from 1 species
GGUGAACACCUUCCUCUGGUAUGCUUUCUAGUCUCCAAUUCUUAUUAUUUGGCAAGAUUUACUUGUCACCAAUUGAAGUGAAAUAAAGCAACUGAUAUAGAAUUUGAGUACAUGCUGCAAUGACUACACUAUUGUACACAAUGCCGGCAUGAUAUAACGUAGCCUUCCUAGUUUCUAACCGGAGAUUCUACUACAAAGAAAGGGAUUUGAAAAUGAAGAAAAUAAUCCCUUCGAUUUGAUCAACCGGUGGAAUUGUUCUCUUCACCAGGGUUUUGCUUAAUCCCACUGCAACAAAAGAAAUGUGGCAACUUGACUCGACCACAAGCCUUGCAACGAAUAAUCACUGGAACGGGUUUUAGAGCCUUUGGUCCAUUCCUUAUGCCUCUCUUGUGAGGAGAAACCUUCUUCUUAGGGACAGCCAUAAGCUCCAUGGACCCCCAAUUGAAAGGUGAAUUUGGAAACAUAUUGCUGUUAUUCUCAUUUUCAGGUAAAACCAACGACGGUGAUGUCGCCGUCGGCCGAUCAACCACGCUAUCUAGAGGCGCCGGACGGGAAGUGAUGUGGGCAAAUCGUCGGAGACUGGAGUUCACGCCGGCGAACUUCCCGGCGGUUCGUAGCAUCGUUCCCCUUAACGCCAUUUUUGCUGGGUUUUGGC